rnacentral:rRNA from 1 species
UACGUAGGGUGCAAGCGUUAAUCGGAAUUACUGGGCGUAAAGCGUGCGCAGGCGGUUUUGUAAGACUGUCGUGAAAUCCCCGGGCUCAACCUGGGAAUGGCGAUGGUGACUGCAAGGCUAGAGUUUGGCAGAGGGGGGUAGAAUUCCACGUGUAGCAGUGAAAUGCGUAGAUAUGUGGAGGAAUACCGAUGGCGAAGGCAGCCCCCUGGGAUAACGCUGACGCUCAUGCACGAAAGCGUGGGGAGCAAACAGG